UACGUAGGGUGCGAGCGUUGUCCGGAAUUAUUGGGCGUAAAGAGCUUGUAGGCGGUUUGUCGCGUCUGCUGUGAAAAUCCGAGGCUCAACCUCGGACUUGCAGUGGGUACGGGCAGACUAGAGUGUGGUAGGGGAGACUGGAAUUCCUGGUGUAGCGGUGAAAUGCGCAGAUAUCAGGAGGAACACCGAUGGCGAAGGCAGGUCUCUGGGCCACCACUGACGCUGAGAAGCGAAAGCAUGGGGAGCGAACAGG
rnacentral:rRNA from 1 species